AAUUGGUUAGGAGCUGAAGUUGUUCCCCUAAUGAGUCCAUGGUAGGACGAAACCAGUC
rnacentral:hammerhead_ribozyme from 11 species